AUUCAGCUGAAGAGUCCAAAACAAGACGAAACGCGAGUCCUGGUU
rnacentral:hammerhead_ribozyme from 1 species